rnacentral:rRNA from 1 species
AACGAACGCUGGCGGCAUGCCUAACACAUGCAAGUCGAACGAGACCUUCGGGUCUAGUGGCGCACGGGUGCGUAACGCGUGGGAACCUGCCCUUAGGUUCGGAAUAACUCCCCGAAAGGGGUGCUAAUACCGGAUAAUGUCUUCGGACCAAAGAUUUAUCGCCUUUGGAUGGGCCCGCGCUGGAUUAGCUAGUUGGUAGGGUAAAAGCCUACCAAGGCGACGAUCCAUAGCUGGUCUGAGAGGAUGAUCAGCCACACUGGGACUGAGACACGGCCCAGACUCCUACGGGAGGCAGCAGUGGGGAAUAUUGGACAAUGGGCGAAAGCCUGAUCCAGCAAUGCCGCGUGAGUGAUGGAGGCCUUAGGGUUGUAAAGCUCUUUUACCCGGGAUGAUAAUGACAGUACCGGGAGAAUAAGCUCCGGCUAACUCCGUG